rnacentral:rRNA from 3 species
UAAUUGAAGAGUUUGAUCAUGGCUCAGAUUGAACGCUGGCGGCAGGCUUAACACAUGCAAGUCGAGCGGUAGCACAGGGGAGCUUGCUCCCUGGGUGACGAGCGGCGGACGGGUGAGUAAUGUCUGGGAAACUGCCUGAUGGAGGGGGAUAACUACUGGAAACGGUAGCUAAUACCGCAUAACGUCGCAAGACCAAAGAGGGGGACCUUCGGGCCUCUUGCCAUCAGAUGUGCCCAGAUGGGAUUAGCUAGUAGGUGGGGUAAUGGCUCACCUAGGCGACGAUCCCUAGCUGGUCUGAGAGGAUGACCAGCCACACUGGAACUGAGACACGGUCCAGACUCCUACGGGAGGCAGCAGUGGGGAAUAUUGCACAAUGGGCGCAAGCCUGAUGCAGCCAUGCCGCGUGUGUGAAGAAGGCCUUCGGGUUGUAAAGCACUUUCAGCGAGGAGGAAGGUGGUGAGCUUAAUACGCUCAUCAAUUGACGUUACUCGCAGAAGAAGCACCGGCUAACUCCGUGCCAGCAGCCGCGGUAAUACGGAGGGUGCAAGCGUUAAUCGGAAUUACUGGGCGUAAAGCGCACGCAGGCGGUUUGUUAAGUCAGAUGUGAAAUCCCCGGGCUCAACCUGGGAACUGCAUUUGAAACUGGCAAGCUAGAGUCUCGUAGAGGGGGGUAGAAUUCCAGGUGUAGCGGUGAAAUGCGUAGAGAUCUGGAGGAAUACCGGUGGCGAAGGCGGCCCCCUGGACGAAGACUGACGCUCAGGUGCGAAAGCGUGGGGAGCAAACAGGAUUAGAUACCCUGGUAGUCCACGCUGUAAACGAUGUCGAUUUGGAGGUUGUGCCCUUGAGGCGUGGCUUCCGGAGCUAACGCGUUAAAUCGACCGCCUGGGGAGUACGGCCGCAAGGUUAAAACUCAAAUGAAUUGACGGGGGCCCGCACAAGCGGUGGAGCAUGUGGUUUAAUUCGAUGCAACGCGAAGAACCUUACCUACUCUUGACAUCCAGAGAACUUUCCAGAGAUGGAUUGGUGCCUUCGGGAACUCUGAGACAGGUGCUGCAUGGCUGUCGUCAGCUCGUGUUGUGAAAUGUUGGGUUAAGUCCCGCAACGAGCGCAACCCUUAUCCUUUGUUGCCAGCGGUUCGGCCGGGAACUCAAAGGAGACUGCCAGUGAUAAACUGGAGGAAGGUGGGGAUGACGUCAAGUCAUCAUGGCCCUUACGAGUAGGGCUACACACGUGCUACAAUGGCAUAUACAAAGAGAAGCGACCUCGCGAGAGCAAGCGGACCUCAUAAAGUAUGUCGUAGUCCGGAUUGGAGUCUGCAACUCGACUCCAUGAAGUCGGAAUCGCUAGUAAUCGUAGAUCAGAAUGCUACGGUGAAUACGUUCCCGGGCCUUGUACACACCGCCCGUCACACCAUGGGAGUGGGUUGCAAAAGAAGUAGGUAGCUUAACCUUCGGGAGGGCGCUUACCACUUUGUGAUUCAUGACUGGGGUGAAGUCGUAACAAGGUAACCGUAGGGGAACCUGCGGUUGGAUCACCUCCUUA